GCAAGUCGAACGGUAACAGGAAGAAGCUUGCUUCUUUGCUGACGAGUGGCGGACGGGUGAGUAAUGUCUGGGAAACUGCCUGAUGGAGGGGGAUAACUACUGGAAACGGUAGCUAAUACCGCAUAACGUCGCAAGACCAAAGAGGGGGACCUUCGGGCCUCUUGCCAUCGGAUGUGCCCAGAUGGGAUUAGCUAGUAGGUGGGGUAACGGCUCACCUAGGCGACGAUCCCUAGCUGGUCUGAGAGGAUGACCAGCCACACUGGAACUGAGACACGGUCCAGACUCCUACGGGAGGCAGCAGUGGGGAAUAUUGCACAAUGGCGCAAGCCUGAUGCAGCCAUGCCGCGUGUAUGAAGAAGGCCUUCGGGUUGUAAAGUACUUUCAGCGGGGAGGAAGGGAGUAAAGUUAAUACCUUUGCUCAUUGACGUUACCCGCAGAAGAAGCACCGGCUAACUCCGUGCCAGCAGCCGCGGUAAUACGGAGGGUGCAAGCGUUAAUCGGAAUUACUGGGCGUAAAGCGCACGCAGGCGGUUUGUUAAGUCAGAUGUGAAAUCCCCGGGCUCAACCUGGGAACUGCAUCUGAUACUGGCAAGCUUGAGUCUCGUAGAGGGGGGUAGAAUUCCAGGUGUAGCGGUGAAAUGCGUAGAGAUCUGGAGGAAUACCGGUGGCGAAGGCGGCCCCCUGGACGAAGACUGACGCUCAGGUGCGAAAGCGUGGGGAGCAAACAGGACUAGAUACCCUGGUAGUCCACGCCGUAAACGAUGUCGACUUGGAGGUUGUGCCCUUGAGGCGUGGCUUCCGGAGCUAACGCGUUAAGUCGACCGCCUGGGGAGUACGGCCGCAAGGUUAAAACUCAAAUGAAUUGACGGGGGCCCGCACAAGCGGUGGAGCAUGUGGUUUAAUUCGAUGCAACGCGAAGAACCUUACCUGGUCUUGACAUCCACGGAAGUUUUCAGAGAUGAGAAUGUGCCUUCGGGAACCGUGAGACAGGUGCUGCAUGGCUGUCGUCAGCUCGUGUUGUGAGAUGUUGGGUUAAGUCCCGCAACGAGCGCAACCCUUAUCCUUUGUUGCCAGCGGUCCGGCCGGGAACUCAAAGGAGACUGCCAGUGAUAAACUGGAGGAAGGUGGGGAUGACGUCGAGUCAUCAUGGCCCUUACGACCAGGGCUACACACGUGCUACAAUGGCGCAUACAAAGAGAAGCGACCUCGCGAGAGCAAGCGGACCUCAUAAAGUGCGUCGUAGUCCGGAUUGGAGUCUGCAACUCGACUCCAUGAAGUCGGAAUCGUUAGUAAUCGUGGAUCAGAAUGCCACGGUGAAUACGUUCCCGGGCCUUGUACACACCGCCCGUCACACCAUGGGAGUGGGUUGCAAAAGAAGUAGGUAGCUUAACCUUCGGGAGGGCGCUUACCACUUUGUGAUUCAUGACUGGGGUGAAGUCGUAACAAGGUAACCGUAGGGGAACCUGCGGUUG
rnacentral:rRNA from 1 species